UACGGAGGUGGCAAGCGUUGCUCGGAAUCACUGGGCGUAAAGGGCGCGUAGGCGGGGAGGUAAGUCGGGUGUGAAAUCCCUCGGCCCAACCGAGGAACUGCGCCCGAGACUGCUUCUCUUGAGUCCCGGAGAGGAAGAUGGAAUUCCCGGUGUAGCGGUGAAAUGUGUAGAGAUCGUGAGGAAGACCAGUGGCGAAGGCGGGUCUCUGGACAGUUCCUGACGCUGAGGCGCGAAGGCCAGGGGAGCAAACGGG
rnacentral:rRNA from 1 species